GCUGAUGAAAACUUAGAUGACGAGUCAUAAUUCUCUACUUGGUAUACCAGUUUGAUUAGGUUUCCUAAUAUAAACGUAUAUCCUUGUCAGUUGAUGAUCUUUGGCCCUGAUU